UGGGUGCUUGCUGUUUUACAGGGACUAUUAU
rnacentral:piRNA from 1 species